AGAGUUUUGCUGUGUUCCUCUUGACUUCCACUUCUGUGCCCCGCUGGCCAUAUUUUCUUCAUCUCCAAAGAUGGUCUCUUCCUAGUAUGUCCCUCCAGUUAGCAGCUCUGAAAACUGGCCCAAUGCACUGCUUUCUCCUGAGCAACUCCAAUCAUCUAAAUGACUUCAGCAACUAAGUGGUUCUGUUCUACGUCAUCAGCUGGGACUGCUGGGACUGCUCUUCAUUUCAAACAGCAACACUCCUUCCAUGUCUGAGAGCUCAAGUUGAAGGCUGAACAGUGAUUUCUGCACUGCUCAUUUUCUUUCAGAAAGCGUGUACUGCUUCCUGUGUUUCUAUUUCUGUUUCCAAACCACCAAGAAAGGGAAAAAAAGCAGCGGAACAGAGACUCAAACACACGUGAAGUACCAAGCUGGACAACUCAGCAUGAUACUAGAAAUACCUAGAUGUGAGGUUUGGCAUUUAUGGGAUAUUAACAUUAAGUGCUUCAGAAGAUAAACAAGAGAAUUAAACAACAGAUAGCACAGCCAGCUAUGUACAUCAGGGCCACCUCUUAGGAACCGAUCCCUUCAAGAUAUUUGUGCCUAUAGAAGGAAAUGCAAAUGAAGCAAACAAGAAGAUAAUUGAAACCCUUCCUGAGUUACAGCUAUGUUUCCUGCUGGAGAGACUGACAGAUCCAGCAAAGAACAGAGGACACUGAAAAUGUGAACGAACAUGUUGCUGAGUUUGCCACGUUAUUCCCUUCAUAUUUUUUACAUAUACAACAUUUUCCUGGUUGGGACUACAGGUACAAAAUCUUAAAAGGCAAAUCACAAGAGAUACUUGAAAACCAGAAAAGAGCAGAAAUAUUUUUAUGUAUCUGUAGUUAAUGAACAUGCCAAACCCAUCGCUCUACCAAACAGCAUGCCAGCCUGGCUGCUGAGGGACAUGAGAAAUGCAGAUCCCACGGUCAUUCACCACCUGGUUUCUCUGCCAAGAGUUUCUAUGGCCACCUGUCAGUUGUGGAGGGGAUCUUGUCUGUUCUAGAAACAGCUGCCCAGGAUGCACAGUGCUGAGAUCCUUUACAGUAGAACAUUCAUCUUCUACUAUAUCUGCAAUAAGCCUUAUCCCAUGGAUGACUUUGGUAUAACAUGAAGCCCACCUGCAACACACAGUAACUACUGAAAGCUAGUAUAGUUGUAGGGCAUAAUGCAGUUUUUGCCUGACACAAUGGGAGUAAACAGACACUCAGGGUUGGUGCUGACAGCAACUAGAGAUAGCUGGAGAAUUUUUCUUCCUUCACUGGAAAUGGAAAUGUAUCAAUUUCUCCCAGAAAAAAAAAAUCAGCUGAAAUAAAAAUUUUAUCAGAGGAAAGUUUCCAUUGUAUGGCCUUGCAUGUUUGAAUGCAUCUCUUGCAUGAUCUGACAUCUAAAUUUCUCAAAGGAUUUGAUGUGGGAACCUCAGAUACAAUCUUGGGUUUUAUCAAGCCUGAAAAACCUACAUUGGACAUUUCAGAUUAGAGUUAUCUAUCAAAUUCAUAACCAGGAUAUUCUAACUACAAGUAAACUACAGAUUUCCCAAAGAUUACAAGAGACAAGGAAAAAAAAUCACACUGUAUUUUUACAUGAUGGUAGAAGUGCACUGAAGUACUGUUUCCCACUUUCAUAUUGAAAAGGAAAGGUCAUUUUAGCAUCAAAUUACUUCUGUCUUACACUUGAGUUACAUUUAAAUAUACAUUUCAUAAAUGAAGUAUCAUUGCUCAAGUCUUUAAGCUGUAUUGAGUUCACGGCACAAAAAGCCCAGACCUUAUGGUGUCUGUUUUAUCAUACAGAAGUCUACAUAAAAGAAAAUUAGGAAAAAAAAAGAACGUUGUGAAAUUACUCGAAUUAUUACUUUUUUAAUAAUAAAGUUUGCUCUCUAAUAUGAACCAGGAAGUGAAGAGUUGUAGCUCUCACAGUCUCAGACUAAACAUCGGGUCGUGGUUCUUUUUGGCUUCUGUUUAAAAAGGCUAAUUGAUUUGGAAGAGAAAGACACAAAAGAUUUUAUAAUCUAACAAUCUCAGACCAGUGAAAAAAGCGGUCCCUGCUUUUUUGAUUACAAAUAAAUGACCUGCGUAUCCU